GGAUGCCAUCCAGAGGGAACUGGACAAGCUUAAGAGGCAGCACGAUACAAUCUGCUCUACAUCGUUCAAUAGAUACUGAGAGAAAGAAUGUAAGACAUGAAACGGAGCCAUCCUCCCAGUUUCUCUCCGUGGCAGAUUCUGAGUAGAAGCUCCCAAACUGUGUACACAGCAGCACCAGGUUGAUGAUCACAGGACACCAGGACCCAUUACUGCUGUAUUGACAGUCAGGAUAGUGACAGGUACUGCUACCUAGCAUGUUUAAACAGGCCCUGUGCUGCUUGCAAUUGUUCUACUUUUUUAGCUCUCUAUAAUUUCCUUUCAUUCAACUUCCUCAUUUUCUUUCUUUUUUUUUUUAAAGUUCCUAUUUCUAAAGGAAAAAGUUGUGGUGAAUAUUUUUUUUUUAGCCUUUUCCUGUCUGGCAAAGAUACCAGUUAUAAGUAUGUAGUAAUUGUAAGUUGUUCUUCUGAAGCUGUGUCUUUAGCCAGGUCCUGUGCUUGCUCAAAUCUGCUUCAAGGUGUUUUUCUUGCUGGGGGAUUGAGUGAGAUUCUCUGGAAAAUGGAUCUGAUAUCUUUGAAAAGAAAGAAAUCUGUACGUUGUACUCCUCUGAAAUUCUUAAUUUCUUAUUUUUCAGCUUCGUAGCCUUCCCAAUCUCCUUGACAAGAACCACCAGGUUUCUUGUGGAUGCUACCACUACUGUAAUUGCUUCCUUGAUAGUAUAGAUUUUAUACAAUCGUGGGUGGAUUAAAAUAUAUUAUAGAAAUUCAGCUUGAUUUUUCUCACCUUCCUUUUGUUUGUGUCUCUGCUUUUGUAAUGCAUGAUGCUGCUUCCCCUCUGGCAUGCCCUUGCCUGUCAGCACUCCAUAAUUUGUAGGGGUGGCAUUAGUUUCUGAGUAAGUGGUCCUGCCAUCAAGCGUAAGAUUCCUUUUAUAUCAGUAUUCUCCUUUUCAACUGAAAUUUAGAUGCCCUUGAAGUGGUCACGCAGUUCGACUAGAUGAUCGUUGUAGGUCCCUUCCAACUGAAAUAUACCGUUAUAAAUUUAUAGUUUAUCUUAAUACCUAGAUUUCAUGGAGGUGAACAGAAACACCUACCCAUUUCUUCCUGCAACAGGCACUUAAUAUGCCUGAACUUUGACUUCUUCUCUGUCCUUUAUUUAGGGUGUGGUGUUUUCAUGCCUAUCACAGGGGAUUUUACGCUGUGCUAUAAUAACUUACUCUGUUGCUUCUGAGUCUAAGCCUCUUCAGGCCUGAUUCGAAUUUUGGUUGAAGUAGAGCCCAUUCUUGUGUCUAGUAUAUUUUUUUUUUUGUCAAAAAGCAUUGUUUUGUGUUUUGGGGUAUUUUAGGAAAUAGGAAGCAGAAAUACCUUUAUCUUGCAGCCUUUUUAUCACCCAUUUUCAGCAUGCCUUAAUAUCUAUUGACCAACGUGCUGUACUUUUAAUCAGUAAUGUUGCAUGAAACAGCUUUUGCUCUUUAGCCUCUUACCUUACUGGCUAAACUUUGUGUCUAGGACUAUAUUUAUGUUCUGUGUCUGGUAUCCACAAAUGUUGCUGUUGCUGACUGCUUCUGUUGUGGCCCAGGUGAUGCCCAGGGAUGCUUUAUAAGAAUUUCCUCGUUUACAGUUGACAUGAUAACUAAGGACUAUCAGCUGCCCUCUUUUCGUUGGGAUGCAAAGUUUUCAUCUGCCCAAGGGGACACUGACAUCUAGUGGAUGGGUUCCACAGACACAGGGCAAGCAAACUGCUGCUUUAAGGCUGUCUUUCUUCUGGAUUUUACCUAAAUUUUGCUUUCGUUUAGAUCCUCAGGGUUGCUUGGAAGAAAAAAAAGGGGGGGGGGGAAGCAAAGCCUAGCCAGUUUUG